UGGGGAAUAUUGCACAAUGGAGGAAACUCUGAUGCAGCGACGCCGCGUGAAGGAAGAAGGUCUUCGGAUUGUAAACUUCUGUCAACAGGGAAGAGAAAGGACAGUACCUGUGGAGGAAGCCACGGCUAACUACGUGCCAGCAGCCGCGGUAAUACGUAGGUGGCAAGCGUUGUCCGGAAUUACUGGGUGUAAAGGGCGCGUAGGCGGGUAAAUAAGUUAGAUGUGAAACCCUAAGGCUUAACCAUAGGCAUGCAUCUAAAACUGUAUAUCUUGAGUGCGAGAGAGGAGAGUGGAAUUCCUAGUGUAGCAGUGAAAUGCGUAGAUAUUAGGAGGAACACCAGUGGCGAAGGCGGCUCUCUGGCUCGUAACUGACGCUGAGGCGCGAAAGUAUGGGUAGCAAACAGG
rnacentral:rRNA from 1 species